GUGGGGAAUCUUGCGCAAUGGGCGAAAGCCUGACGCAGCCAUGCCGCGUGAAUGAUGAAGGUCUUAGGAUUGUAAAAUUCUUUCACCGGGGACGAUAAUGACGGUACCCGGAGAAGAAGCCCCGGCUAACUUCGUGCCAGCAGCCGCGGUAAUACGAAGGGGGCUAGCGUUGCUCGGAAUUACUGGGCGUAAAGGGCGCGUAGGCGGACAGUUUAGUCAGAGGUGAAAGCCCAGGGCUCAACCUUGGAAUUGCCUUUGAUACUGGCUGUCUUGAGUACGGGAGAGGUGAGUGGAACUCCGAGUGUAGAGGUGAAAUUCGUAGAUAUUCGGAAGAACACCAGUGGCGAAGGCGACUCACUGGCCCGUUACUGACGCUGAGGCACGAAAGCGUGGGGAGCAAACAGGAUUAGAUACCCGAGUAGUCC
rnacentral:rRNA from 1 species